rnacentral:rRNA from 1 species
GACGAACGCUGGCGGCGUGCUUAACACAUGCAAGUCGAACGGAAAGGCCCUGCUUUUGUGGGGUGCUCGAGUGGCGAACGGGUGAGUAACACGUGAGUAACCUGCCCUUGACUUUGUGAUAACUUCAGGAAACUGGGGCUAAUACCGGAUAGGAGCUCCUGCUGCAUGGUGGGGGUUGGAAAGUUUCGGCGGUUGGGGAUGGACUCGCGGCUUAUCAGCUUGUUGGUGGGGUAGUGGCUUACCAAGGCUUUGACGGGUAGCCGGCCUGAGAGGGUGACCGGCCACAUUGGGACUGAGAUACGGCCCAGACUCCUACGGGAGGCAGCAGUGGGGAAUAUUGCACAAUGGGCGGAAGCCUGAUGCAGCAACGCCGCGUGCGGGGUGACGGCCUUCGGGUUGUAAACCGCUUUCGCCUGUGACGAAGCGUGAGUGACGGUAAUGGGUAAAGAAGCACCGGCUAACUACGUG